rnacentral:rRNA from 1 species
AGGCUUUGAUCCUGGCUCAGAUUGAACGCUGGCGGCAUGCUUUACACAUGCAAGUCGAACGGUAACAGGCCGCAAGGUGCUGACGAGUGGCGAACGGGUGAGUAAUGCAUCGGAACGUGCCCAGUCGUGGGGGAUAACGCAGCGAAAGCUGUGCUAAUACCGCAUACGAUCUAUGGAUGAAAGCGGGGGACCGUAAGGCCUCGCGCGAUUGGAGCGGCCGAUGUCAGAUUAGGUAGUUGGUGGGGUAAAGGCUCACCAAGCCAACGAUCUGUAGCUGGUCUGAGAGGACGACCAGCCACACUGGGACUGAGACACGGCCCAGACUCCUACGGGAGGCAGCAGUGGGGAAUCUUAGACAAUGGGGGAAACCCUGAUCUAGCCAUGCCGCGUGAUCGAUGAAGGCCUUAGGGUUGUAAAGAUCUUUCAGCUGGGAAGAUAAUGACGGUACCAUGCAGAAGAAGCCCCGGGGUAACAUCCGU